rnacentral:rRNA from 1 species
GAGACCCGCAUCGCCCUGUUGCUACCAGCCUUGAGCUGGGCACACGGCGGAGACUGCCGCCGAUAAGGCGGAGGAAGGAGCGGGCCACGGCAGGUCAGUAUGCCCCGAAUCUCCCGGGCCACACGCGAGCUGCAAUGGCAGGUACAAUGGGUUCCGACCUCGAAAGGGGAAGGCAAUCCCGAAAGCCUGCCGUAGUUGGGAUCGAGGGUUGGAACUCACCCUCGUGAACAUGGAAUCCCUAGUAAUCGCGCGUCAUCAUCGCGCGGUGAAUAC